CGUGAGGGUGGAGGGGUCGGCGCACCCGCCCGCACAGGUGGACAGGUCAGCUCCCCGGGCCCCAGCGUCCCGCCCCGCUGCUGCGUCCCGUCUCUCCCGGCCCGCACCCUCCUCCAGCCCAGCAGUGUGCUGUCCAUCGUCUGGCCGCCAGUCUUUGGCAAAGAGAAGCACUGCCACGGGCGUGUUUGGGCUAAGCCCCCUCCAUUCCGUCUGCGUUGGAGAAAUGUUCCUGGUACCAGAAGGAAUGAAGGGACUGGGACUGGUCUCCAUGGCAACUGGAAGAAAGAGCCGGCGGAACAAGAAAGAUGAGCUUCUCCUUUGCUUGUUGAACAAAAUUAACUAUGCUCACUCCAGACUAGCUCCCCUGACUAGGAAUAACUUUGGAGUUAUCCAAACUCUGGAAAUUCCAGCUCCUGCAAGAAGCCAUCCCAGAUGGAUCCUACAAGAACUAAGAAUACCUGUAACUAGUCUUCUAAAUCUCAGCACCCAGUGUGGCCUUUCUUUCUACCCCCCACCAAUCUGGUCCUCCUUGACCUGAGAGAGCUUUCAUCCAAGUCUGUGAGUCCUAAUAGAUCAUCCUGAAGAAUCAGAAAUCACCAUCAUCACCAUCAUCACCAUCACCAUCACCAU
rnacentral:lncRNA from 1 species